UACGAAGGGGGCUAGCGUUGCUCGGAAUCACUGGGCGUAAAGCGCACGUAGGCGGAUUGUUGAGUCAGGGGUGAAAUCCUGGAGCUCAACUCCAGAACUGCCUUUGAUACUGGCGAUCUUGAGUCCGGGAGAGGUGAGUGGAACUCCGAGUGUAGAGGUGAAAUUCGUAGAUAUUCGGAAGAACACCAGUGGCGAAGGCGGCUCACUGGCCCGGUACUGACGCUGAUGUGCGAAAGCGUGGGGAGCAAACAGG
rnacentral:rRNA from 1 species